GAGAAAUGAUGCUGCGAAAGAGCCU
rnacentral:piRNA from 1 species